rfam:Heligmosomoides polygyrus genome assembly, scaffold: HPBE_contig0002523
GCGCCGGUGGUGUAAAGGCGUAGAGCAUUCCCGCCAGGUCAGAGGGAGGUGCGGGUUCGAGUCCCGCCUGGCGCU